GUUUGAGCUGAUUUCAACUUCAAUUUUUAAAGUUAUGGCAUUUUUAAAUUGGCCAUUUGUCAUGUUUCCUGAUCUCUAGACUAAUAAUCUACUAAAGAAGGAACUUGCUGAGGUUGAGAUUGAAGUGAAUCGACUAAAGAGACAAGUACACGAGGAAAUGAGAGCAGACGAAGUGAGAGAAGAAACAAAAGUCAAACUAGAAACACAAACCCAACUAGUGACCGUCUUCAAUGAGCAUACAGAGCACUGCAGAUACAGGUCGUACAGUUGCAGAAUCAAGUGAAGCAAUUAGGCGGGAAAUUGGAGUGAGACAGGCCAGUCACUCGACCACCUAUGCCAGAGCUACCUUUAAAAGAUGUAUCUUUUGAUGCCCAGCAUCAAAAGACUUAAAUUUUUAA